rnacentral:rRNA from 1 species
CCUACGGGCGGCAGCAGUGAGGAAUAUUGGUCAAUGGACGAGAGUCUGAACCAGCCAAGUAGCGUGAAGGAUGACUGCUCUAUGGGUUGUAAACUUCUUUUAUAUGGGAAUAAAAUGUCCUACGUGUGGGGUUUUGUAUGUACCAUAUGAAUAAGGAUCGGCUAACUCCGUGCCAGCAGUCGCGGUAAUACGGAGGAUUCGAGCGUUAUCCGGAUUUAUUGGGUUUAAAGGGUGCGUAGGCGGGCUGUUAAGUCAGUGGUGAAAGUUCGCGGCUUAACCGUAAGACUGCAGUUGAUACUGGCAGUCUAGAGUGCGGAUGAAGUAGGCGGAAUGCGUGGUGUAGCGGUGAAAUGCUUAGAUAUCACGCAGAACUCCGAUUGCGAAGGCAGUUCACUAGACUGCAACUGACGCUGAUGCACGAAAGUGUGGGUAUCGAACAGGAUUAGAUACCCUAGUAGUC